rnacentral:rRNA from 1 species
CCUACGGGUGGGCAGCAGUGAGGAAUAUUGGUCAAUGGCCGGAAGGCUGAACCAGCCAAGCCGCGUGAAGGACGAAGGUGCCAAGCAUUGUAAACUUCUUUUGUCAAGGGACAACAUCAGGCUCGAGAGCCUGACCGAGGGUACUUGAAGAAAAAGCAUCGGCUAACUCCGUGCCAGCGGCCGCGGUACUACGGGGGAUGCGAGCGUUAUCCGGAUUUAUGGGGUUUAAGGGGUGCGUAGGCGGACUGUUAAGUCAGCGGUAAAAGCCCGGGGCUCAACCCCGGCGAGCCGUUGAAACUGGCUGUCUUGAGAGGGCGAGAGGUAUGCGGAAUGCGCAGGGUAGCGGUGAAAUGCGUAGAUAUUGCGAAGAACUCCGAUGGCGAAGGCAGCAGACCGGCGGCGAUCUGACGCUGAGGCACGAAAGCGUGGGUAUCGAACAGGAUUAGAUACCCUUGUAGUC